AUUGAACGCUGGCGGCAGGCCUAACACAUGCAAGUCGAACGGUAACAGGAAGCAGCUUGCUGCUUUGCUGACGAGUGGCGGACGGGUGAGUCAUGUCUGGGAAACUGCCUGAUGGAGGGGGAUAACUACUGGAAACGGUAGCUAAUACCGCAUAACGUCGCAAGACCAAAGAGGGGGACCUUAGGGCCUCUUGCCAUCGGAUGUGCCCAGAUGGGAUUAGCUAGUAGGUGGGGUAACGGCUCACCUAGGCGACGAUCCCUAGCUGGUCUGAGAGGAUGACCAGCCACACUGGAACUGAGACACGGUCCAGACUCCUACGGGAGGCAGCAGUGGGGAAUAUUGCACAAUGGGCGCAAGCCUGAUGCAGCCAUGCCGCGUGUAUGAAGAAGGCCUUCGGGUUGUAAAGUACUUUCAGCGGGGAGGAAGGGAGUAAAGUUAAUACCUUUGCUCAUUGACGUUACCCGCAGAAGAAGCACCGGCUAACUACGUG
rnacentral:rRNA from 1 species